rnacentral:misc_RNA from 1 species
GGGCUCUUUACGAAGUUCUACACUAUUUGAUGCAAUUUGAUACCAUUCUCUGACGCAAAUUUGAAGUAAAUAAACCUAGAAAAGGUUUAGAUGCAGCAGUAGGCAUUGCCCUUCUCCUGUACUUGUCUUUCCGCGUUACCAUUCAUAUUAAGCAAUCCCCAAUUUUUUGGUAUUUCAUCAAUUUUUUUUCUUUGUUUUAAACCUUCAAUUAAAUUUUGUGAACAAGAUGAAAUCUCUACCAAAACUUUUGCCAGACAGAAUUCAC